CCAAUAGCGUAUAUUAAAGUUGUUGCAGUUCAAAAGCUCGUAGUUGAAUUUCGGGAUCGACGGGUCGGUCGCGCCUCUGGUGUGUACUGGCCCUGUCGGUUUCUCCCUUCUGACGAACCACGAUGUCAUUAAUUUGGUGUCGUGGGAAAUCAGGACUGUUACUUUGAAAAAAUUAGAGUGUUUAAAGCAAGCAUUCGCUUGAAUACAUUAGCAUGGAAUAAUGAAAUAGGACGUUUGAUCUUAUUUUGUUGGUUUCUAAGAUCGACGUAAUGAUUAAUAGGGAUAGUUGGGGGCAUUAGUAUUCAAUUGUCAGAGGUGAAAUUCUUGGAUUUAUUGAAGACUAACUACUGCGAAAGCAUUUGCCAAGGAUGUUUUCAUUAAUCAAGAACGAAAGUUAGGGGAUCGAAGACGAUCAGAUACCGUCGUAGUCUUAACCAUAAACUAUGCCGACUAGGGAUCGGAUGAUGUUAAUUUUUUAAUGACUCAUUCGGCGCCUUACG
rnacentral:rRNA from 1 species